UGGAAGCAGAGAAUCGUGAAGGAAUGUUCGAGGGUCUGUUGGUGUUAGCAUGGAUCACAGUGACAGGGGCACUGCCAGGUGACUUCUGCUGGUACCAGCCAUAACCAUAGCCACUGCCACCCCCGGAGCAGGUGAUCCUGACGGUUUCUCCCGGGUUCACUGACAUCGAGGCCGGCUGACUCAGCGCUGCCUGCACCAGGGAACCUG